GCUUCGUUGGUGUAGUCGGUUAUCACGUGGGUCUCAUAUCUCCAUAUAUGACUAUUCUCUCUGAAAAAGAAUGGACAUCCCAAGGCCACCAGUUCGAUUCUGGUACGAAGCA